UCUAAUGGAUGAGCUAAGAAAGUGAUUUCUUGAGAUGGAAUCUACUCUUGGUAAAGAUGCUGUGAA
rnacentral:pre_miRNA from 1 species